UUUUUUUAUUGCAGAGCAUUAAUAUUGACAGGAAACCCAAACAAUAUAGGAAAAGGUUACAUUUUCACCUAUAUCUGUAUUCAUCAUGUUGCAAAACAAUAUAUAUCCAUGAUUGGUGAAGUUAUUUCACUCAAGUAUGGGUCCUUUAGCUACCCUACACUAUGAUAUUUAUUUAUUCUUUGAUUGAUCCAGUACUUUAUAGUGACUGUCAUGUCCAUAUUCAUAUCAUGUCUGAUUCAUCAGUCAGUGGAAAUACUAGAAACAACAUCCUAGCUGGUUUUUCAAUUUUUCCUACAGACAAUAAAAACACUGCUGUAUUUCUUUGAUAACUUGUACAUGUUGUUGUGAUGUAACAAAUUACUUUUCAUAAACUACAUGUACAAAAUGAAAGAAAGUAAAGGUAAGAUAUUAAAGUUAUACUCAAAUAGUUCUUCAUUUUAGGGGUAAAAGGUGACAGGGCACCCUGCCACUUUUAAGAACAUCAUCGAUUAUUUCAAUAUCAUUUUUUAGGUUGAAACGAUGUUGUAAAAUUUAUUUACACAUUUAUGAUAAUUUGAUAAAGC
rnacentral:lncRNA from 1 species